rnacentral:rRNA from 1 species
AUUGAACGCUGGCGGCAUGCUUUACACAUGCAAGUCGGACGAGUGGCGAACGGGUGAGUAACAUAUCGGAACGUACCGAGUAAUGGGGGAUAACUAAUCGAAAGCUUAGCUAAUACCGCAUAUUAUUAGAUCGGCCGAUAUCUGAUUAGCUGGUUGGUGGGGUAAAGGCGUACCAAGGCGACGCUCAGUAGCGGGUCUGAGAGGAUGAUCCGCCACACUGGAACUGAGACACGGUCCAGACUCCUACGGGAGGCAGCAGUGGGGAAUUGUGGACAAUGGGCGCAAGCCUGAUCCAGCCAUGCCGCGUGUAUGAAGAAGGCCUUCGGGUUGGAAAGGACGUUUGGCAGGGAGGCGGUACCUGAAGAAGAAGCACCGGCUAACUACGUGCCAGCAGCCGCGGUAAUUC